rnacentral:rRNA from 1 species
GACGAACGCUGGCGGCGUGCUUAACACAUGCAAGUCGAACGGAAAGGCCUCUUUUGGGGGGUACUCGAGUGGCGAACGGGUGAGUAACACGUGAGUAACCUGCCCUUGACUUUGGGAUAACUUCAGGAAACUGGGGCUAAUACCGGCUAGGAGCUCCUGCUGCAUGGUGGGGGUUGGAAAGUUUCGGCGGUUGGGGAUGGACUCGCGGCUUAUCAGCUUGUUGGUGGGGUAGUGGCUUACCAAGGCUUUGACGGGUAGCCGGCCUGAGAGGGUGACCGGCCACAUUGGGACUGAGAUACGGCCCAGACUCCUACGGGAGGCAGCAGUGGGGAAGAUUGCACAAUGGGUGGAAGCCUGAUGCAGCAACGCCGUGUGCGGGAUGACGGCCUUCGGGUUGUAAACCGCUUUCGCUCAUGACGAAGCUUUGUGUGACGGUAGUGGGUAAAGAAGCACCGGCUAACUACGUG